rnacentral:rRNA from 1 species
GUCUAUGGCCACGCCACCCUGAACACGCCCAAUCCCGUCUGAUCUCGGAAGCUAAGCAGGGUCAGGCCUGGUUAGUACUUGGAUGGGAGACUACCUAGGUAGGCAUAAAUA